UACGGGGGGGGCAAGCGUUGUUCGGAAUUACUGGGCGUAAAGGGCGCGUAGGCGGUUUGCUAAGUUGAAUGUGAAAACUCUGGGCUUAACCCAGAGCCUGCAUUCAAUACUGGCAGGCUGGAGUUCUGGAGGGGAUAGCGGAAUUCCUGGUGUAGCGGUGAAAUGCGUAGAGAUCAUGAGGAAGACCAGUGGCGAAGGCGGGUCUCUGGACAGUUCCUGACGCUGAGGCACGAAGGUCAGGGGAGCAAACGGG
rnacentral:rRNA from 1 species